GGACCCGCACAAGCGGUGGAUGAUGUGGUUUAAUUCGAUGCAACGCGAAAAACCUUACCUACCCUUGACAUGUCAAGAAUUUUGCAGAGAUGUGAAAGUGCUCGAAAGAGAACUUGAACACAGGUGCUGCAUGGCCGUCGUCAGCUCGUGUCGUGAGAUGUUGGGUUAAGUCCCGCAACGAGCGCAACCCUUGUCAUUAGUUGCUACCGCAAGGAGCACUCUAAUGAGACUGCCGGUGACAAACCGGAGGAAGGUGGGGAUGACGUCAGGUCCUCAUGGCCCUUAUGGGUAGGGCUACACACGUCAUACAAUGGCCGGUACAGAGGGCUGCCAACCCGCGAGGGGGAGCCAAUCCCAGAAAACCGGUCGUAGUCCGGAUCGUAGUCUGCAACUCGACUGCGUGAAGUCGGAAUCGCUAGUAAUCGCGGAUCAGCUUGCCGCGGUGAAUACGUUCCCGGGUCUU
rnacentral:rRNA from 1 species